rnacentral:miRNA from 1 species
AUGUAGCGAGCUGAGUGGGGAGGAGAGAGGGACAGAGAGCCUGCUUGCUUUAAAGGAACCAACCGGACAGGAGCCGCUUACACUCGUGUAAGUGGCUCCUCUCCUCUCCCGCUUUGCUCCUUUAAAGAAGCAGGCUCUCUGUCCCUCUCUCCUCCCCACUCAGCGGCUCUUCUC